rnacentral:rRNA from 1 species
UGGCGCACGGGUGCGUAACACGUAACUAACCUACCCAGAACUGGGGGAUAGCCCGCCGAAAGGCGGAUUAAUACCGCAUAAGCUAGUUGGGGUGGCAUCACCUUAUUAGUAAAGAUUUAUUGGUUUUGGAUGGGGUUGCGGGUCAUUAGCUAGUUGGGUGGGUGACGGCUGCCCAAGGCGACGAUGACUAGGGGAGCUGAGAGGCUGGUCCCCCACACGGGCACUGAGAUACGGGCCCGACUCCUACGGGAGGCAGCAGUAGGGAAUAUUGGGCAAUGGGCGCGAGCCUGACCCAGCCAUGCCGCGUGCAGGAAGAAGGCUUUCUGAGUCGUAAACUGCUUUUGACAGGGAAGAAUAAGCUUCACGUGUGGAGUGAUGACGGUACCUGCAGAAUAAGCACCGGCUAACUCCGUGCCAGCAGCCGCGGUAAUACGGAGGGUGCGAGCGUUGUCCGGAUUUAUUGGGUUUAAAGGGUGCGUAGGCGGUUUGUUAAGUCUGGGGUGAAAGCCCGCUGCUCAACAGCGGAACUGCCCUGGAUAC